GUCGCAAGACCAAAGAGGGGGACCUUCGGGCCUCUUGCCAUCGGAUGUGCCCAGAUGGGAUUAGCUUGUUGGUGGGGUAACGGCUCACCAAGGCGACGAUCCCUAGCUGGUCUGAGAGGAUGACCAGCCACACUGGAACUGAGACACGGUCCAGACUCCUACGGGAGGCAGCAGUGGGGAAUAUUGCACAAUGGGCGCAAGCCUGAUGCAGCCAUGCCGCGUGUAUGAAGAAGGCCUUCGGGUUGUAAAGUACUUUCAGCGGGGAGGAA
rnacentral:rRNA from 1 species